CAGCCUUUUUAUUGGCUUAUAGUAAACUUACACAUGCAAGCAUCCCCGCCCCAGUGAGAAUGCCCUCUAUAUCAAAUUAAUUGAUCAAAAGGAGCAGGUAUCAAGUUCACUAAUUUUAAGUAGCUCACAACACCUUGCUACACCACACCCCCACGGGACACAGCAGUGAUUAAGAUUAAGUCUAUAAACGAAAGUUUGACUAAGUUAUACUAUUCAAAGGGUUGGUAAAUUUCGUGCCAGCCACCGCGGUCAUACGAUUAACCCUAGUCAAUAAAAUGCGGCGUAAAGCGUGGUUAAGAAUAUUCAUACCAAUAAGACUGAGCUUAGACUAAGCUGUAAAAAGCCCUAGUCAUAAUAAAAAUAUUAUACGAAAGUAGUCUUAAUAGCCCUGAAUCCACGAUAGCUAAGACCCAAACUGGGAUUAGAUACCCCACUAUGCUUAGCCCUAAACACCAGUAUUUAAUUAACAAAACUACUCGCCAGAGUACUACUAGCCAUUGCUUAAAACUCAAAGGACUUGGCGGUGCUUUACAUCCCUCUAGAGGAGCCUGUUCUAUAAUCGAUAAACCCCGAUAAACCUCACCACCCUUUGCACUAUCAGCCUAUAUACCGCCAUCUUCAGCAAACCCUACUAAGGUCUUACAGUAAGCACAAUAAUUAAGACAUAAAAACGUUAGGUCAAGGUGUAGCCUAUAGGGUGGAAAGAAAUGGGCUACAUUUUCUACACUCCUAGAACAACGCAACGAUAGCUUUUAUGAAACUACAAAAGCCCAAGGCGGAUUUAGUAGUAAGCUAAGAAUAGAGAGCUUAGCUGAAUCGGGCAAUAAAGCAC
rnacentral:ncRNA from 1 species